rnacentral:rRNA from 1 species
GAUUGAACGCUGGCGGCAUGCCUUACACAUGCAAGUCGAACGGCAGCACGGGAGCAAUCCUGGUGGCGAGUGGCGAACGGGUGAGUAAUAUAUCGGAACGUGCCCAGUCGUGGGGGAUAACGCAGCGAAAGCUGUGCUAAUACCGCAUACGAUCUCUGGAUGAAAGCGGGGGACCGCAAGGCUUCGCGCGAUUGGAGCGGCCGAUAUCAGAUUAGCUAGUUGGUGGGGUAAAAGCCCACCAAGGCGACGAUCUGUAGCUGGUCUGAGAGGACGACCAGCCACACUGGAACUGAGACACGGUCCAGACUCCUACGGGAGGCAGCAGUGGGGAAUUUUGGACAAUGGGCGCAAGCCUGAUCCAGCAAUGCCGCGUGCAGGAUGAAGGCCUUCGGGUUGUAAACUGCUUUUGUACGGAACGAAACGGUCUGCCCUAAUACGGUGGACUAAUGACGGUACCGUAAGAAUAAGCACC